AUUUAAAAUUCACUUUCACAUUUUUACUAGAGAUGUGCGGGCCGCCCGAAAUUCACCUACCCGACCCGGCCCAGCCCGGCCCGACCGGGCUUGGGUCCGGGUUUCAAAAAUUAGUCGGGCUCGGGCGGGUUCGGGUUUCAAAAACAAAGAUUCGGGCCGGCCCGACUUUGUUCGUCUUUUAAAAAAAUGUGAAAACUUGAA